AGAUGUGAGGGCGAUCUGGCUGCGACAUCUGUCACCCCAUUGAUCGCCAGGGUUGAUUCGGCUGAUCUGACUGGCUAGGCGGGUGUCCCCUUCCUCCCUCACCGCUCCAUGUGCGUUCCUCCCGAAGCUGCGCGCUCGGUGGAAGAGGACGACCAUCCCAGAUAGAAGGAGUGUACCCUUCUUCGGUCAAGGGUAUACGAUAGCUGCGCUCCCUUCUAGAACCUCUAAACAAGCUCAAGGUACAACUACCUUAAAUAAACCAAUACUUCAAGAUAUGAAAGAAACCCAUUGUUUCUGUAUACAAU